UCCGGCGUGGUCGAGCUGGAAAGACACACGGUUGUUACCCGUGAAGCGCAGGUUCGAGCCCUGCCGCCGGAG
rnacentral:tRNA from 1 species